rnacentral:sRNA from 1 species
CUCGCACGGCGCCGACCGAAGACCCCCUCCGUCAGCGACGCCGUCGCAAUGGCCAUUUGUCAAUUCUUCCUUCAAGGCCGGUGCCGCUUUGGAGAUCGGUGCUGGAACGAACAUCCCGGUGCCAGGGGUGCAGGAGGAGGACGGCAGCAACCGCAGCAGCAGCCUUCAGGUAAUAAUAGACGUGGAUGGAAUACAACUAGCCAGAGAUAUUCCAAUGUCAUCCAGUCAUCCAGUUUCUCCAAAUCCACACCAUGGGGGGGCAGCAGAGAUCAAGAAAAGCCAUCUUUCGGUUCUUUUGAUUCUGGAGCUUCAACUAACAGGAAGGAAGGCUUUGGAUUGUCUGAGAACCCAUUUGCUUCACUUAGUCCUGAUGAGCAGAAAGAUGAAAAGAAACUUCUGGAAGGAAUUGUAAAAGAUAUGGAGGUUUGGGAAUCAUCAGGGCAGUGGAUGUUUUCUGUUUAUUCACCAGUGAAAAAGAAACCUAAUAUUUCAGGUAACUGAAAAAUUGUGCAUUUUUAAAAUAUGUUCUAAAACUAUUAUUUUCUAAAACCAAAAGAAUGCCAAAGAAAGAAAUCAACUACCAACUUAGCUACAACUAGGAGAGUUUGGACAUUGUUUAAAGUAUUUGAGUAUUCUAGCCAAACUUCAUAAUUUAGAGAUUAAGGUUGGAGAAUAUAGUCUUUUAAGACAUAUAGUUCUUGGGAGAAAACAUUUAAAUAAAGCCCAGGAAGAGACUCUA